rnacentral:lncRNA from 1 species
GUGGUGUAAAUUAAAUCAGUUGUAUUUUAUGGCUGACAUAUUUAUGUAUAUACAUUUGUACAUGUAUGUAGAUCAUUGGCUUUUCAACGCAUUGAUUAUUUUUCAAUACCGAUUAUCUAUUUAUUGUUCUAUUGUUGGUAUUUUUCAGCUUCCUAUAACAGUUUUCACAAAACAUGAACGCAAGCUUGAAAAGGUGUCCUCACACAUUUUGACGUGGC